CAAUGAUGAGUGUAACUGUACUGUGUACCUAAAAUGUACCAAUAAACUUAGUGUGGGGGGAACAGUCCCAGGGAUACAGUCUUUUAGUUCCUACCACCUCCCAGCAACACUAUGCUGGGAUUCAAUUGAUGAGUGGUAGUCCCGUGACAGGUCCAGGUGAAUUACUCCCCACCCCCACUUUGAGGCUGCCAGCCAAGAAAAUGGGGUGCAAGGACAGUAUGAGCUUCUUCUGGCCCAGAAAUGGAUUGGGCAGCAGGCCGGGGAAGGUGAUGUCUCUGUCGUUCUAAGGUUCUUGUUUCCAUGACAGCAUUGUUUAUCUGUUUGGGGUCAUUAAAAAUGUAUGGAAAUAAUCAGAUAUGUUGGAUCACUGCUGAAAUCCCAGCUAUCUGGGAGACUGAGGCAAAUUCAAGGCCAGCAAGCAGGAGUCCCUGGUUUUAAUCCGUAGCAUCAUGAAAACAAACCAAUACAAAACAAUAGAUUCAAAUAGAUUCAAUAGAUUCAAAUUUAACUCCACCAGACCUACAUGGGAGAGGAAAUAGCUGAGUGUGCCUGAGAGGGGAAAUCACAGUCAUCAGGUGAUCAGAUGUCCAGAGCUAGAGCUGGAUGACCUUGUCUCUCUCCUUUGUCAUGUAGCCCUGGAGCUGGGGCUGGGUGGGCCAGGGCUUGGGCCCAGUAGAGGCCAGGACACCUCCCUGCCCUGCCCAGGGAGGGAGCCACCUCAGCUGGGGCCUGCAGACACUGAGCACCUGAGAAACUGGGAAGUGUCCUGCAGAGGGCGCCAUUGAUUCACAUAUAAUCCCUGAAAAGCUGAACCAAAGUAGUAUUGUGCUACACCCAAAAUGAAGGAAGGAUUAUGAAAAACAAGAUGUGAUAGAAGGUAUGUCAAUUCCAGGAUUGAAGGAGCUGGUUCUGACAGUAGGGAAAAAUAAUAACGUCUCCAGGACUAGGCACCAAGUCUCCGGCAAUAUGGCAGGGCCCCAGCCAGUCACUGUCCUAGACUUCUGUCAGGCCCAGAAAAGCUCUUGUGUUCUUGCAGUGUGAAUGGAUAACUGCAAAUUUUCAUUUAGUUCUCACAUCCACCUGAUAAUCCAGGUUCACGGUGAGGUAAAAGAGGCUCAGAGGGACUCAGAAACUCCCCCAAGGACUCACAACUACUAGGCAAGAGAAAGGACAUUCAGAUUGCUUAGCUGGGACUCUGGCACCCAUUGAGUCUUCUCUCGUUUUACCACCAGGAGGAGCCCUUGCUGUUUUCUACCGGACGCCUCAGGAAACACAAAGCAUUGUCUCUGAGGGGCAGAGGAUAUUUUAGCCAAUAGAUAUUGUUAACUAGCCCUGAACCUGUCUGGGACACAGCCACACUCCAGAGUCACACUGACUUUUGCUACAAAGAUACGAUCGUAGUACCAGAGCCACAAAAUCAAGAUGCAGUUGAAACAGGCAAAGAUUGAAACAAGUGCCUACUACAUGGAGGUCUUCAAGUAGUUGUCCUCUUGCCUCAGCCUCCCUGGUCUCUGGAAUUACAGCACUUUCUCAUUAGACUCUAAAAUGGAGCCGACUUUUCUAAACUGUGUAUUUUGCUCUGUGGGUGAGGAAUCC